rnacentral:RNase_P_RNA from 1 species
AGAGCUAUCGCUAGAAAAGAAUUUUUUUUAGAGGAAAGUCCGGGCACUUAAGGGCAGACCGCCUGAUAACGUCAGGUGCAAGCGAUUGCGAGGAAAGUGCCACAGAAACAAAGACAGCCCACCGUUUUUAUAUUCUAAACGAGGCAAAUGGUGCAAAGAUGAGGUAAGAGCUCAUUUCAAAAUAUCAAGAGAUAUCUUUGAGGUAAACCCCGGUCAAGUGCAAGGUUUGAAAAAAUAUAGCGGCCCGCUAAAUUUUCAAAAAUCCGCUAAAAUAUUAAAGCAAUUUAAUAUUUAGACAGAUGAUAGCUAGAACAGAACCCGGCUUACUCACUGCUUU